UACCUGGCUCAGGAUGACGCUGCGCGUGCUUAACACAUGCAAGUCGAACGAAGCACUACGACGGAACGUUUCGGACGGAAGAUGGUAAUGACUGAGUGCGACGGUGAGUAACGCGUGGGCAACCUGCCCCACUAGACGGGACGAACAGCUGGAAACGGCUGCUAAUACCGCAUAACAAGGAGAGAGCGCAUGUUCUUUCUUCUAAAGAGUUUAUCGCUAUGGGAUGGACCCGCGUCUGAUUAGCUGGUUGGUGAGGUAACGGCUCACCAAGGCGACGAUCAGUAGCCGGCUUGAGAGAGUGGACGGCCACAUUGGGACUGAGACACGGCCCAGACUCCUACGGGAGGCAGCAGUGGGGAAUAUUGCACAAUGAGGGAAACCCUGAUGCAGCGACGCCGCGUGAGUGAAGAAGUAUUUCGGUAUGUAAAGCUCUAUCAGCAGGGAAGAUAAUGACGGUACCUGACUAAGAAGCCCCGGCUAACUACGUG
rnacentral:rRNA from 1 species